AAACUAUUUCAGCAGACCUAUAAAAAUGUAAUAAAAUCAAGCAAAAUCAGAGUAAAUGUGAUCCCGCAAUGAGCAGAAAUAUUAGUAUUUCUAAAGGCAAACUCUACAUGCAACAAUAUAUUAUUUAUACUCUGAAGGGUCUGUAAAAUAGCCAUAUUGUUAAACUAAAGGAAUUUUCAGUAUUUUGUAUUUUGAAAAGUGCAUUGCAUUGGGAUUUAGGUUGAAAGAAAAUAUUCAUGUAAACUUAUCAGAUUUACCAGCGCAUUCAUUCAUGCCCUUUCUUUUUUCUUUCUUUUUUUUUUGUAGUUUUUAGUUCAGUAUAUUUUAUAUAAAUAUAUCUUCUUCCUAUAUAAUAUUUAUUCUAUAUUUUUUUAAUGUAAGUUAUGUGUUUGUUUUGUUUUAAAAUGUUAUUUUUGCCCCGCUUUAAGUUAUUGGUUCACUAGAGACUUUUAUUUUGAUGGCAAUAAUGCUGAUAAGUGCGAUUUGCCAAUAAAAAAAUAAGUUUAUUUUGAAGAGCGGUUCAAGCAGAAGCGGAAGUGAUCGCAGAUGGAUGAGUUUUUGGAUCACGGAGUUUCGAGUGUAAAUAAGAGAAUUAACAGCAGCGAAAGAGUCACUGCAAGGAAAAUAAAAAGGAAACAACGCAAACGUCAGUGCAAGAGCAAAGAGCUACCUCCCAAAAUGCUGAAACUGUCACUGAUCUGAUGAAACGGUUUCAACUCGGACCGAAGACCUCUGAGCCGCUGAAAUGCACAUUUAUGAAUGAAUGGUGAAAUUAAAGUUAUGAUUUCUCAUUGUUUUAUGCAAAAAGGUGAGCUGAUGAAGACAAGUUUAUUUACUUUCUAUGCUCUAGACAUGUUUCACAUCAUUACUGGAUGCUUUAAUGAUAGUUUUUGGCAUAUGUUACAGCAUUGCGUAAUCAAGUAAACAAACUAGUGAAGUUAAGCAGUUCCUUGAAACAGUUCAGACAUUCCGAAAAACACAGAGAUAAAGAAAACACUCUGCUCCCUCCACACACACACAUACACGUAUGUUUUUGUGAAAAGUGGGGACAUCCCAUAGGCGUAAUGGUUUUUAUACUGUAUAAACUGUAUAUUCUAUCGCCCUACACCAACCCUACACCUAACCCUAGCCCUCACAGAAAACUUUGUGCUAUUUCAGAUUUUCAAUACACUCCAUUCUGUGUGAUUUCUAUUGCGUUUUGAAAAGUGGGGACAUGGAGUAAUGUCCUGAAAAGUCACCUUCUGCUUGUAAUACCUGUGUUAUAUCCUUGUCAUUAUACACAUUUGUGUCCUGAUAUGUCACAAAAACACACACACACACACACACACACACACACACACACACACACACACACACACACACACAAGCAGGCAAGAAUAUAAAAACAGCUGUCUGUCAGUCUACCAGUGCUGUGUAAUGAGUAUAAUUUCUUUCUUUUGCAUUCUCUCUUUUGUAGGUAUUGACAAAGUCUUUUUAAAAUUCAAAACACCACGUUUUUAGCAUCUGUCUUGCAUUAUAGUACAGCCACUGCAGGCUACUUAUUUCAAAGCUGAUUUGACAUUAUAUGCAGCCUGCAUCGGAUUCAUACUUGAUUUCAACUGGUUUUGCUUUAAUAUACUUAUAGGGAGAAAUUUUAAACAAGUAUAUAAACAUGUUUUCCGAAAGUCAGCAUUUGGGCGUAACUUGUUCAACACCGGUUUCCUGUUUAUUUGCGUGACUAGCCGCAUCAUUUCCACAUAUAAUGAUAUAAUGAUCUGUAGGUUGUUUAUGCUCAAUUAAACAUAAUAGUGCUGUGCAUCCAGAAUAUUUUGAGUUGAUAGAAACCUUGUGAUGACUUCACUGUACCUAUGUACAAAGCUUAAUCCAAAACAGAAUCUGUUUGAGCUUAUGGUUUUAUAAACUCACAUAUUGAUUCUUCUUUUAAAACUGGUGUACUGUUAAAGUUCAAAUUAAAUUGGUCUAUUCAAUUUAAUGGUCAUGUUAGGGUUUACACAGGUUACUAAGUGAAUUUUGACACUAAAAUGUUAACAUGCAUAUUGUUUACACAUUGUUGUUUUCCCAAGAGGGAGCAUCAACGUUAUGCUACGUGUGAACCCACACUCUCAGAAAAAAAAGGUACACAAGUUGUCACUGGAGCAGUACUAUUUUAAAAGGUACACCUUUGUAUUGGUACCUUAAAGUUACAUACUAGUAAGCAAAGUGCACAUAUUAGUACCUAAAAGGUCCAAAAGUGGACCUUUUGAAAAGGUAUCACCACAGUGACAGUUGUGUACCUUUUUUUUUCUGAAUGUAGGUUCAACAUUGAUGCUCACUCUUGGGAGUGACAUUUCUUUCAUCUUAGUAUUCGACCAGUAUUUAUGUAGAAUGUUUCCAUCCUACCAAAUUCGUCAGAGCAGAGUGUGUCUAAAUAUGUUGUUGUUGUUUUUUUUUGACAGCACCGUUCCUUAAGGCAAGACACUGCAGGAAAAAGCGUGUUAUUUCAGACUAGAAAAAAAAUCUUCCAAAAUACACAUUUAACUGUUUAUUUUAUUGCACUUUACAUAUAUACAUAUAAUCACACAAACAAACACACGCUAAAUCUAGCUUGAAGGCAGAAAAUGUGCUCGUGAUGCAUGUUCACACCCAGCUUUCUUCUUCAAGCCAAUAAAUAUCAGUCCAGUGAGCGUCUCAGACACUUUCUGAUCUUCAGCUCAGACUCAUCGAGACUCUUUCAUUCACACAAACUCAAGAACAACUCAAAGGAUGAGAACGGAGGUUUUCCUCGUGCUCCUCAUGACUCUGGUGUCCACUGAUGGACUGAAUAAUGUCACGUUCAACCGAGAGAAACGAGAUCUUUUCUCUACCACUGCAUAUCCCUGCCAGAGAUCUCAGAAUAACAACGCAUAUAAUACUUUUAAUCGCCGACAUAUUCUCUCAGAGGAUUUUGACAGGAACAGUGAAAGGGCUUGGGCAGAUUAUCUCAAUAGAAAGGGUCUUUGUGGCAGAACACCUGUUCAGUCCUUCCUCUCUAGAAGGUACAGCGAUAGAAUUAAAAGAAUCUGCAACGGAGAAGGCACCAGAGACACAGGAAACUUGUGCAUCAGUAUGAGAAGUUUCACAGUGUACAUUGUUGAAAGUUCUGUAAGAUACAGAGAGUGUGAAGUUCAUGUUCGUCGUGAGAACUCUUAUGUGACUGUUGCUUGUGAGGUCAUUGAUAACGAAUGUGUGCCUGUUCACUAUGAGAAACAAACUAACAGGCAACCAUCCCAACAUGGUCAGAUCUGCAGACCUUAAGCAGAGGAUGUACUAAGGAUACAUUUUUAACCAUUAAUUAAAAUGUUGCUAUGCCACAUGCAUGUAUAAACUGGAUAUAAUUCCAGAAUAAAAGCUUUCUUAGCAGAGCACAGUUUGGUUUUAUAAAACAAACUGAUGAGAUGUGUAGCUCAAAUGCUAUGUAAGUUGCUUUAAAUAAAAGCAUCUGCCAAAGCCA